rnacentral:sRNA from 1 species
AAGGAAGACACAAACA